rnacentral:sRNA from 1 species
UUGACACUAAGGGCGGAGUGACAUAAUUUCAGGAGUGAGGGUUAGGGAGAGGUUUCCCCCUCCCCCUGGUGUUCUUAGUAAGCCUGGAAGCUAAUCACCAAGAGUAUCACCAGUAUGAUGACGUGCUUCAUCAUAACCCUUUCCUUAUU